rnacentral:rRNA from 4 species
UCCGUAGGUGAACCUGCGGAAGGAUCAUUGUCGAAACCUGCC